CCUGGCUCAGGAUGAACGCUGGCGGCGUGCCUAAUACAUGCAAGUCGAGCGAACAGACGAGGAGCUUGCUCCUCUGACGUUAGCGGCGGACGGGUGAGUAACACGUGGGUAACCUACCUAUAAGACUGGGAUAACUCCGGGAAACCGGGGCUAAUACCGGAUAACACAUGAAACCGCAUGGUUUCAUGAUGAAAGACGGUUUUGCUGUCACUUAUAGAUGGACCCGCGGCGUAUUAGCUAGUUGGUAAGGUAACGGCUUACCAAGGCAACGAUACGUAGCCGACCUGAGAGGGUGAUCGGCCACACUGGAACUGAGACACGGUCCAGACUCCUACGGGAGGCAGCAGUAGGGAAUCUUCCGCAAUGGGCGAAAGCCUGACGGAGCAACGCCGCGUGAGUGAUGAAGGUCUUCGGAUCGUAAAACUCUGUUAUUAGGGAAGAACAAGGAUGUAAGUAACUAUGCAUCCCUUGACGGUACCUAAUCAGAAAGCCACGGGCUAACUACGUGCCAGCAGCCGCGUA
rnacentral:rRNA from 1 species